CAGUCGCCGCGGUAAUACGAGGGGUGCAAGCGUUAUUCGGAUUGAUUGGGUGUAAAGGGUGUGCAGACGGCUUAUUAAGUCACUUGUUAAAUUCUUCGGCCUAACUGAAGGUCUGCAAGUGAUACUGAUGAGCUAGAGGGUGGAAGAGAGAAGUGGAAUUCUCGGAGUAGCGGUAAAAUGCGUAGACCUCGAGAGGAACACCAAUGGCGAAGGCAGCUUCUUGGUCCAUUCCUGACGUUCAUACACGAAAGCGUGGGGAGCAAACAGGAUUAGAUACCCCCGUAGUCCCUGUCUCUUAUAC
rnacentral:rRNA from 1 species